UUAUACGUCCAUACCACCAUGAUGAAUACACCGGUUCUACCGAUCACCAAAGUAAAGCAAAGUCGGGCGCGGUCAGUACCUGGAUGGGUACCGCCUGGGAACACCGCGUGACGUUGGCU
rnacentral:rRNA from 1 species